rnacentral:rRNA from 1 species
AUUGAACGCUGGCGGCAUGCUUUACACAUGCAAGUCGAACGGUAACAGGCCUUCGGGUGCUGACGAGUGGCGCACGGGUGCGUAAUGCAUCGGAACGUGCCCAGAGGUGGGGGAUAACGCAGCGAAAGCUGUGCUAAUACCGCAUGUGAUCUGAGGAUGAAAGCGGGGGACCAAGCAGCAAUGUUUGGCCUCGCGCCUCUGGAGCGGCCGAUGUCAGAUUAGGAAGUUGGUGGGGUAAAGGCCUACCAAGCCGACGAUCUGUAGCUGGUCUGAGAGGACGACCAGACACACUGGGACUGAGACACGGCCCAGACUCCUACGGGAGGCAGCAGUGGGGAAUUUUGGACAAUGGGCGCAAGCCUGAUCCAGCAAUGCCGCGUGCGGGAAGAAGGCCUUCGGGUUGUAAACCGCUUUUGUAAGGAACGAAAAGGCUCUGGCUAAUACCUGGGGCUGAUGACGGUACCGUAAGAAUAAGCACCGGCUAACUACGUG